GACGAACGCUGGCGGCGUGCCUAAUACAUGCAAGUCGAACGAGUGGCGGACGGCUGAGUAAUGUCUGGGAAACUGCCUGAUGAAGGGGGGUAACUACUGGAAACGAUAGCUAAUACCUCAUACCAUCAGAUGUGCCCAGAUGGUUUUAGCUUUUUGGUGGGGUAACGGCUCACCAAGGCGACGAUCCCUAGCGGGUCUGAGAGGAGGACCAGCCACACUGGAACGGAGACACGGUCCAGACUCCUACGGGAGGCAGCAGGGGGGAAUAUUGCACAAUGGGCGCAAGCCUGAUUCAGGCAUGCCGCGUGUAUGAAGAAGGCCUUCGGGUUGUAAAGUACUGGCAGCGGGGAGGCGGUACCCGAAGAAGAAGCACCGGCUAACUCCGUGCCAGCAGCCGCGGUAAUAC
rnacentral:rRNA from 1 species